GGAGGGUUCGCCUAGUGGCCGAUGGCGGCGGUCUUGAAAACCGCUGAGGCGAGUGAUCGUCUCCGAGGGUUCGAAUCCCUCACCCUCCGCCA
rnacentral:tRNA from 1 species